CUGAGCCAGGCGUAGCAUCGUUCUCACGACGGGUUCGGGAGUGACUGAAUCAAAGAGUCGGCAAAGGGAUGAAAG
rnacentral:sRNA from 23 species